CCGGCCCCACCAGGCUGCGCGGGCCGCGGCGGAGCGGGGCCGGCCCGAGCGGGGCCCAGUUACCUCUCCAAGGCCAGAAACGAGAGAGAGAUUCCCCGGGCUUGCAGACCUACCUUCUAAAUGGUUUAAUAGGUUUUCAGUUCUCAGAGCUAGCCAGCUAUUGGUUUCUGCCCGGCACAGAGGAAGCUGUUAGCAGCUUCUCUCAGAAAAUUCAUUUCCAUGGGUGCCUUUGUCCAUCCACACCAAAUGUCAAUUAAUGCGAAACCAACACACACACGAAGAAAAGCCAAAAAGGUGGAGGUUUUGUACAGUUUUAAAGAAUUCCACUUCAAUUUGCAUUGCAGAUAUGAAGAGUUGAGAAAUAGAAGUGGUAGGAGUCCCAGUCAUCUAACUGAUUUGUAAUCUUUUAGCCAGAAGAAGGCAUUCUUCCAUCUUUCUCACUAAGAUCUUCAGGGAUUAGCUCCAUUUCAGGGGUAUGAAAACUGAUUUGAUAGAAAACCAGGUCCACAUUCCAUUUCCACAGAGUAAAUUCAGGAUCAUACAUUCUAUUCAUGAAGAAAAGACAAAAACAUCACCUCUGAUAUUCUACUCCUGUCAUCACAUCUGUAAAAGCAGAUUAGGAACACUUUGCUUUUGCAAAUUAAAUGCAAACCUGCUAGCUGCAGAAGGAACAUUGCACUAGAGCAUCAGACCUAUUGUCCACAGAAGGGAUCUUCAGUUAAUGUUCAACAUCACAGAAUACCAUCAAGGAAGAUCAGGAUGUCUUUCUCUCCCCUCUGGAGCUCUCGAUCCCUGUCCCAGAGAUGACCUAACAGGACAAGCCUGGACCAAUCCUGGACCAAUCCUUGGCCUUCCCCUUGGACUUCCCCAUGGAGAUACCCAGUUCCCCCAGCUGAUUCCUGGACUGCUCUGUGCCCUGGCUGGGAGCAGGCAGAGCAGACACUUCCAGCCAGGCUCCAUCCCACUGGCUUUGACUUUUGACAGUGGGAUUAGCCAUGGAGCCCGGUACUGACAUUCUAUGAGGAGGUCCCUUCACACCAGGUUCCAGGGCCAGGAGAGACACCAGCCCUCACGGUGCCCUGAUACAUGAUAACAAGCUUUAGCUUUUACCCAGUGAUGUUCUGACCAGAGUGGACUAAUAUUUUAGUUCUUUAUACAUAUUCCAUUUUAGUAACAAAUGGUACAUAAUACAUUUUAUUUUAUGAUGUAAAUAAGUGCUUGCAAUGCAUACCUUUUUUAUGUACAGCAUUUUUGCACUGCUUUCAACAUGAAGCUAAACUAAUCUGUUUGGAUGUCAAGUAUCUCAUUGUGGUUUCUUUUGCUGAUCUGUACCUAAUGUGUGCUAGGCAGAAUUCCUCAUACCAGGUCAUUCAAGGGAUGUAAGUCAGACACCAAGGAAUAUCAAAAGAGUUGGUUGGUUCUAUUUUAUCACUUCUUAGACACGUGGUGCUGUUCAUGGGUUAGCCAUGUUGGAUCCUGAA